rnacentral:rRNA from 1 species
UACGGAGGGGACUAGCGUUGUUCGGAAUUACUGGGCGUAAAGCGCACGUAGGCGGAUUUGUAAGUCAGGGGUGAAAUCCCGGGGCUCAACCUCGGAACUGCCUUUGAUACUGCAAAUCUCGAGUCCGGAAGAGGUGAGUGGAAUUCCUAGUGUAGAGGUGAAAUUCGUAGAUAUUAGGAAGAACCCCAGUGGCGAAGGCGGCCCACUGGGCCGGUACUGACGCUGAGGUGCGAAAGCGUGGGGAGCAAACAGG